rnacentral:rRNA from 1 species
CAUGUAGGCGGUUGUUUAAGUCUGAUGUGAAAGCCCUGGGCUCAACCCAGGAAGUGCAUUGGAUACUGGGCAACUUGAGUACGGGAGAGGAAAGUGGGAAUUUCGAGUGUAGGGGUGAAAUCCGUAGAUAUUCGAAGGAACACCAGUGGCGAAGGCGGCUUUCUGGACCGAUACUGACGCUGAGAUGCGAAAGCGUGGGGAGCAAACA